GGCCAAUCUCUAUCAAGUAGCGCCAU
rnacentral:sRNA from 1 species